rnacentral:misc_RNA from 1 species
GUGAAUCAUCAAAUUUUUGAACGCAAAUUGCACUCUCUUCGGAGAGUAUGCCUGUUUGAGGGUCAGCCUAAAAAAAAAAUCGACAUAGUCGCUGUUUCGUGGUCACAUUCGUUGGGAAUUUUGGUAUCUUCAACCUUUGGGUUUUAAGCUUCUAAAAAUUUUCUUUACUUUUUAGCUGACGUUUCUAAGAGUUACUUCUUAUACGUUUAAAGUAUCGAUCUCGGUUAGACUGG